AUGUCCUUUAGAAUUUAAUUUAAGGUCUAACCUGCCCACUGAGUUAUUAAAUGGCCGCAGUAUUUUAACUGUGCAAAGGUAGCAUAAUCAUUAGUCUUUUAAUUGAAGGCUUGUAUGAAUGGUUGGACAAAAUAUAUAUUGUUUCAUUUAAAUUUAUAGAAUUUUAUUUUUUAGUUAAAAAGCUGAAAUUUAAUUAAAAGACGAGAAGACCCUAUAGAUCUUUAUAAUUAUUAAAUUUAAUUUGUGAAGAAUAUUUUAUUUUUUAUUUAUAUAAUUAUUUUAUUGGGGUGAUAGUAAGAUUUAUUUAACUCUUGUAUAGUUUAAUACAUAAAUUAAUGAUUAAUUGAUCCAGUAUUAUUGAUUAGUAAAAUAAGUUACCUUAGGGAUAACAGCGUAAUUUUUUUAGAGAGUUCAUAUCGAUAAAAAAGAUUGCGACCUCGAUGUUGGAUUAAGAGAUAAGUUUGGGCGCAGCCGUUCAAAUUUAAAGUCUGUUCGACUUUUUAAUUCUUACAUGAU
rnacentral:rRNA from 1 species